AUAAGUUUUGCUAUAAAAGUAAACACAUCCACUGAUUCUACACUUACAAAUUUAAUCCAACUGCAGUGUGAUAUAGAGGACUUAACAAUAGCACUUUAAUAAUAUUUGAUAAGACAGUAUUCCAAGAUGAAAACUCUCCUGGUAGUUUUAUUUUCCAUUGUAUGUCUAGCCAGCAAUGUGCAGGGACGAAGAAUAAAGCGAGAGAUUCCAAAAUACUCACUGGCUGA